rnacentral:rRNA from 1 species
AUUGAACGCUGGCGGAAUGCUUUACACAUGCAAGUCGAACGGCAGCACGGACUUCGGUCUGGUGGCGAGUGGCGAACGGGUGAGUAAUGUAUCGGAACGUGCCCAGUAGUGGGGGAUAACGUAGUGAAAAUUACGCUAAUACCGCAUACGAUCUAUGGAUGAAAGCGGGGGAUCGCAAGACUCAGCGCGAUUGGAGCGGCGGAUUUCAGAUUAGGUAGUUGGUGGGGUAAAGGCCCACCAAGCCAACGAUCUGUAGCUGGUCUGAGAGGACGACCAGCCACACUGGAACUGAGACACGGUCCAGACUCCUACGGGAGGCAGCAGUGGGGAAUUUUGGACAAUGGGCGAAAGCCUGAUCCAGCCAUUCCGCGUGCAGGAUGAAGGCCCUCGGGUUGUAAACUGCUUUUGUACAGAACGAAAAGGUUUCUACUAAUACUAGGAGCUCAUGACGGUACUGUAAGAAUAAGCACCGGCUAACUACGUGCCAGCCGCCGCCGUAA